rnacentral:ncRNA from 2 species
AAGAACUCAUCGGGGUGCUCUUAUGGAAGAGCUGAGAUUAGACCCGUGAACCUGAUCCGGCUCAUACCGGCGGAGGAAAUGAGAUGUCUACUCCU